GGAGAGGUGUCCGAGUUGGCCGAAGGAGCGCGACUGGAAAUCGCGUAGGCGGUUUAUAGCCGUCUCGUGGGUUCGAAUCCCACCCUCUCCG
rnacentral:tRNA from 2 species